rnacentral:rRNA from 1 species
AUGUUUGUUAGGCAUAAAGAGAAAGAUAAUUUUCAUGUGAGGCUGCAAGUUGAUGUGCUUGAGCAGGCAUUUGGACCUAGGAUGACGGGUGCAACAUCUCGGGGAGAACCAAGUCGUCGUAAUGGCAUCUCUAGCCAGAAUAGUUCAGUUGGUGCACGGCGACGUGGUGGCUCGACAAGUGUGGGCAACAGCAGUAGGGUCCCCCUUGAAGUGGAGCCUGAUGACUACAAUUCUGGGGUUGAUGAAGAGAAGCUAUAUUCUGAUGUUAUUCGAAAUUUAUGA